CCCCAGUGAGGAAACGUGUACAGUCUGACUCCCAGCCCUCGCUCCAGAGCCCGCAGAGGCGAAUCCACUGGGGCUGGCUGGGCAAAGAGGUUGGCGUCAAAAGGAGCUGAGAGCUGGGU
rnacentral:snoRNA from 1 species